UGGGGAAUAUUGCACAAUGGGCGCAAGCCUGAUGCAGCCAUGCCGCGUGUGUGAAGAAGGCCUUCGGGUUGUAAAGCACUUUCAGCGAGGAGGAAGGGCAGUGUGUUAAUAGCACAUUGCAUUGACGUUACUCGCAGAAGAAGCACCGGCUAACUCCGUGCCAGCAGCCGCGGUAAUACGGAGGGUGCAAGCGUUAAUCGGAAUUACUGGGCGUAAAGCGCACGCAGGCGGUUCGUUAAGUCAGAUGUGAAAUCCCCGCGCUUAACGUGGGAACUGCAUUUGAAACUGGCAAGCUAGAGUCUUGUAGAGGGGGGUAGAAUUCCAGGUGUAGCGGUGAAAUGCGUAGAGAUCUGGAGGAAUACCGGUGGCGAAGGCGGCCCCCUGGACAAAGACUGACGCUCAGGUGCGAAAGCGUGGGGAGCAAACA
rnacentral:rRNA from 1 species